rnacentral:rRNA from 1 species
UACGUAGGGUGCGAGCGUUAAUCGGAAUUACUGGGCGUAAAGCGUGCGCAGGCGGUUUUGUAAGCCAGAUGUGAAAUCCCCGGGCUUAACCUGGGAAUGGCAUUUGGGACUGCAAGGCUUGAGUGCGGCAGAGGAGACUGGAAUUCCUGGUGUAGCAGUGAAAUGCGUAGAUAUCAGGAGGAACACCGGUGGCGAAGGCGGGC